GCUGGGCAUGGUGGCGUGUGCCUGUAGUCCCAGCUACUCAGGAGGCUGAGGCAGGAGAAUUGCUUGAACCUGGGAGGUGGAGGUUGCAGUGAGUUGAGGUCGUGCCACUGCACUCCAGCCUGGUGACAGAGUGAGAUUCCAUCUCAAAAAAAUAUAAAAUAAAUAAAUAAAUGCAAAAUUAAAGUGUGGUUUCUUAUGCUAGAACAACAAAGUUUUCUCUUUUUUUUCUUUGAGACGGAGUCUCAGUCGCCCUGGCUGGAGUGCAGUGGCGUGAUCUCGGCUCACCGCAAGCUCCGCCUCCCGGGUUCACGCCAUUCUCCUGCCUCAG
rnacentral:SRP_RNA from 1 species